AGCUGAGAGAUACUCCAGACAGUGGACACACAGUUUGACAUGAUGGACUACAGGACAGGACUGUUGCUUCUAACUGUCUGCUGGACAGGUGUUGAUGGUCAGACUCUGACACAGUCUGAAGCAGUGGUUAAAAAUCCUGGAUAAUCUCACAAACUGACCUGUACAGUUUCUGGAUUCUCAUUAAGCAGCUACUGGAUGGG